UACGAGUGCCUCGAGCGUUAUCCGGAAUCACUGGGCUUAAAGCGUGUGUAGGUGGAUUUGUAAGUACCUUGUGAAAUCCCAUGGCUCAACCAUGGAACUGCUCGGUAUACUGCGAGUCUUGAGCCACUUAGGGGCAACCGGAACAAAUGGUGGAGCGGUGAAAUGCGUAGAUAUCAUUUGGAACGCCAAUGGUGAAAACAGGUUGCUGGGAGUGUGCUGACACUGAGACACGAAAGCCAGGGGAGCGAACGGG
rnacentral:rRNA from 1 species